rnacentral:rRNA from 1 species
CACGUAGGGUGCGAGCGUUGUCCGGAAUUAUUGGGCGUAAAGAGCUCGUAGGCGGUGUGUCGCGUCGGCCGUGAAAACCUGCAGCUUAACUGUGGGCUUGCGGUCGAUACGGGCAUCACUGGAGUUCGGCAGGGGAGACUGGAAUUCCUGGUGUAGCGGUGAAAUGCGCAGAUAUCAGGAGGAACACCGGUGGCGAAGGCGGGUCUCUGGGCCGAUACUGACGCUGAGGGCACGAAAGCGUGGGGAGCAAACAGG